UUGACCUCAAAUCAGGUAGGACUACCCGCUGAACUUAAGCAUAUCAAUAAGCGGAGGAAAAGAAACUAACAAGGAUUCCCCUAGUAACUGCGAGUGAACCGGGAAAAGCUCAAAUUUUGAAUCUGGCGGUCUUCAGGCCGUCCGAGUUGUAAUCUAGAGAAGCGUCUUCCGCGCUGGACCGUGUAUAAGUUUCCUGGAAUGGAACGUCGUA
rnacentral:rRNA from 1 species